GCAGGCUAGAGUCUUGUAGAGGGGGGUAGAAUUCCAGGUGUAGCGGUGAAAUGCGUAGAGAUCUGGAGGAAUACCGGUGGCGAAGGCGGCCCCCUGGACAAAGACUGACGCUCAGGUGCGAAAGCGUGGGGAGCAAACAGGAUUAGAUACCCUGGUAGUCCACGCCGUAAACGAUGUCGAUUUGGAGGUUGUGCCCUUGAGGCGUGGCUUCCGGAGCUAACGCGUUAAAUCGACCGCCUGGGGAGUACGGCCGCAAGGUUAAAACUCAAAUGAAUUGACGGGGGCCCGCACAAGCGGUGGAGCAUGUGGUUUAAUUCGAUGCAACGCGAAGAACCUUACCUGGUCUUGACAUCCACAGAACUUUCCAGAGAUGGAUUGGUGCCUUCGGGAACUGUGAGACAGGUGCUGCAUGGCUGUCGUCAGCUCGUGUUGUGAAAUGUUGGGUUAAGUCCCGCAACGAGCGCAACCC
rnacentral:rRNA from 2 species